GCUCUUCAGUAAACUAUCGGCCGCGAAACGAAUAAGAAUAGGCGUCGUCGCGAAUACACCGCACGACCGCGUGUCGCCAGCAUGCGAUCACUUCUUGCCGUGACGAUGGUGUCCACGCUGUUGUUACAGGUUGAAACGUUUUAUGCUAAUAAUCAGCAGCAGAUGCUGCAGGACGUUGCGACCACUUCUUGUACUUUGCUAUCUGAGUUUUGCCGAUGCACGUCCGAUUUCCAGGAUUUCUCGUGCCAGGCUGCAGGAUUCACGGAGAUUCCAAACGAGAUACCAAGCACCGUUAUGAAAUUGGACCUUACGAGCAAUAACAUCACCCAUUUGUACGAAAACACUUUGGACGCUUUCGUGCAUCUCGAGGAACUAAUACUUACUGACAAUAAAUUGGAUUUAAUCCAUCCAAACGCUUUUAAGGCUACAGUGCAUCUGAAGAGACUGGUCUUACAAAGAUGUGGACUUCGGAAAAUUCCUUCAGAUGCAUUAAGUCCUCUUUCUAAACUUCACACCCUCCAACUAGGGCAGAACGAUAUAUCAGAAGUGGAAAGUGACAGUUUGAAACAUACCCCAGCCCUUAGAAGUCUACGACUUGACGGGAACAAGCUUCGAGCUGUUCCUGCGGAUGCAAUCCGUCGAUUACAUAAUCUCGAAAUGUUAAACCUGGCUAACAAUUUCAUCACGUCUAUUCCCAUGGGCGUUUUUCCAGAGAUGAAAAAUCUUAUAGUGCUACUAUUCAAAAGGAACCAAAUAGCUGAAAUUUCAGAUGGAGCGUUCGAUAAUAUGACAUCUUUAAAAGUCCUGGAAUUGGACGACAACCUCCUCACUGAAAUACCCUUAGCAAUAACCAAGUUACCAUCUUUACAAGAGUUGUCAAUAUCCGGCAACCGUAUCAAGCAUAUUCCAGGAGGUCUCCUGCAGAAGACGCCUAGUUUGACGCUCCUGGAACUCCAGGGGAACCCCCUAGCCGGCGUCGACAUUCAUUCUUUCGCCUUCCUUCCUCGUUUGCGCAAGCUAAUCUUAUCGGAAGCAAGACAUCUGUCAAUUUUUCCGAAUUUGAAUGGAACGGAAGCUCUUGAACUGCUGCGAUUCGAUCGCGCCGGUUUAUUAUCAGUGCCGACGUCAUUAUGCGAAACCUGUCCAAAAUUGAAAAGCUUAGAUUUCAAAUCGAAUCGACUUAGCGUCGUUCCAAACUUGUCCAACUGCAAGGAAAUAAGAGUUUUAGAUUUGGCAAGCAAUAAAAUCAAUUCGUUGCUUGGACGACCGUUCCAGGGAAUGUCUCAGAUGCACGAUCUCCUUCUUGCCCACAACGAAAUAGAAUUUAUUCCUCAGGACGCUUUUUACGGCCUUUCGAAGCUCCAAGUACUUGACUUGGAAAACAACAUGAUUUCAUAUAUUCAUCCGGAUGCCUUUCUACCUAUCUCUCACAUAGAAAACCUAAACCUGGGUAACAACAUUUUUCCCGAAUUACCAGCGGCUGGUUUAGAACGUCUCCUUCAUCUCAAGGUAUUUAAUAAUCCGAACUUGAAGGAGUUCCCUCCACCCGAAAGCUUUCCGCGAAUUCAGACUUUGGUUUUGGCCUACGCGUAUCACUGCUGUGCUUUCCUUCCCUUAAUACCCUCCAACCCGCCCCCACCUGCCAGAGUCGAAGAUAUAGUGCUUUUUCCCGACGAGGACGACGACAUAGAUCCCAACAUUUGGAAUUCGAGUGUCGUAGACUUGUGGCCUCAAUUACAAAAUAUAAGUCACAAACUGGGCAAAAAAUUUAAAGACAUUUGGGAUAGCUACGGUGGCGGGGAAUUUGCAUAUCCAGGAAAUUUUCCUAACUAUAUGGAAGAAUACGCGGAAGAAGAGACGAAACUCUCUGGAAGUGAACUACCUCCUGGAAAAAUUCAAUGUUUGCCAUCACCAGGUCCAUUCCUUCCUUGUCAAGACUUAUUCGAUUGGUGGACUCUCCGGUGUGGAGUGUGGCUGGUCUUCCUGUGUUCCAUGCUAGGAAAUGGAACGGUAGUUUUCGUGUUAAUUUUUUCCAGGAGUAAAAUGGACGUUCCACGGUUUCUAGUCUGCAAUUUGGCUGCUGCAGAUUUUUUCAUGGGAAUAUAUUUAGGGUUUUUGGCCGUUGUAGACGCAUCAACUCUGGGCGAGUUUAGAAUGUAUGCCAUCCCUUGGCAGAUGUCUGUUGGAUGCCGACUAGCUGGAUUUUUGGGGGUGCUAAGUUCCGAGUUAUCAGUAUACACUCUAGCAGUAAUUACCCUGGAACGAAAUUAUGCCAUCACGCAUGCCAUGCAUCUCAAUAAAAGAUUGUCUUUGAAACACGCAGGGUACAUAAUGGUUUGCGGAUGGGCGUUUGCAAUUGUUAUGGCUAUUCUUCCACUCUUCAGUAUUUCCGACUAUAGAAAGUUUGCAGUUUGUCUCCCGUUUGAAACAGGAUCCGUUGCCAGUUUGACUUACGUCGUUUUUCUCAUGUUUAUCAACGGCGUUGCGUUUCUUAUAUUGAUGGGGUGCUACUUAAAAAUGUACUGUGCUAUUCGAGGUUCUCAAGCUUGGAACUCCAACGACUCUCGCAUUGCUAAGAGAAUGGCUCUCUUGGUGUUCACCGAUUUCCUCUGCUGGUCGCCAAUAGCUUUUUUCUCUUUGACCGCUGCGUUUGGUUUACAACUAGUAACUUUAGAACAAGCCAAAGUAUUUACGGUGUUUGUACUGCCAUUAAAUUCAUGUUGCAAUCCGUUUCUUUAUGCGAUACUCACGAAACAAUUCAAAAAAGACUGCGUAAUGAUUUGCAAAGCAAUCGAAGAAAGUAGAGUGACCAGAGGCAUUGGUAGAUGCAGACAUAGUUCAAAUUUUAGUAACCGACAAACCCCUGCGAACACAAACAGCUUGGCAGACAGGUCAUCGCGAGAAAAUCAAAAUCAUCAUAAUCCACAGUGUACAUGCAACGUGAAGCUUUUGAAUAAUGAAGUCAAAAAUGGCAGUUCACGAACUAGUCGUAAGAAGAGUGCUUCGAAAGAUUGGUUGGUUAGCAAGGCCAGGUGGAUUUUAUGUGCAAAGAAACCUCCCAGACAUCGACCACGAUCGGAACAAUAUACCUACCAGAUUGCAGAGAUUCAACAGAAACAACACAAACGUGCAUCGUCAGUGUCAUCCAGUGAGAACUUCAGCUCUUCGCGAUCCGAUUCAUGGAAGCACAAUCAUCACUGUGGAAUUCCUCUAAGGUUUGUAGAAGUUGCUGGAUCCCAAACGAAGAGCGUCUACGUGGCUUGUAACUCGAAAAACCUCUCAGGACUCCAAUCUCUCUAGUUCGAGAAACGACUCUUCGGGGUCUGGCACCACGGCCAGUACCAGCACAUGGCGAAUAUCACGCUCAAGUGCUUCGAGUAAUGAACCCAACCGAUUAAGAUCAAAACCAAGACUGACUCGUCAAAGUGCGAUCCAGGACGAUUGUGAUUCCCCAGGAUCUCCUGGGCGUCUCACAGUCCGUUUCCUAACCACAAUUCCGUCUGCUGCAGAGAACAGCAUGCAGAUGGAAGAUGAGCCAAGUUUAUCCCCCACAAAAGAAAAAGAGGGACCGUUGUAUGCGAUACUGCAUUCGCAACCGGUCGUUACGCCUCUGAGAAGACAGUCGGUGGGCACUUUGCAUCCGCCUGAGUCCACCUCUGACCAAAACCCUUC
rnacentral:misc_RNA from 1 species